rnacentral:sRNA from 1 species
AGCAGCCGCGGUAAUUCCAGCUCCAAUAGCGUAUAUUAAAGUUGUUGCAGUUAAAAAGCUCGUAGUUGAAUUUCGGGAUCAAUUGAUUGGUCAUGCCUACGGUAUGUACUAGUCAUAUUGGUUCUCACCUUCUAAUGAACCUUAAUGUCAUUCACUUGAUGUUUUGGGGAAUUAGGACUGUUACCUUGAAAAAUUAGAGUGUUUAAAGCAGGCUUACGCUUGAAUACAUUAGCAUGGAAUAAUGAAAUAGGACAUCGCAUUCUAUUUUGUUGGUUUCUAGGAUCGAUGUAAUGAUUAAUAGGGAUAGUUGGGGGCAUUAGUAUUCAAUUGUCAGAGGUGAAAUUCUUGGAUUUAUUGAAGACUAACUACUGCGAAAGCAUUUGCCAAGGAUGUUUUCAUUAAUCAAGAACGAAAGUUAGGGGAUCGAAGACGAUCAGAUACCGUCGUAGUCUUAACCAUAAACUAUGCCGACUAGGGAUCGGAUGAUGUUAAUUUUAAAUGACUC